rnacentral:lncRNA from 1 species
CUUUCUUAAAGGCCCAACCGCUCAGCGAUGACUCCAGAUAGAUUCCUUAACUGAACUUCAGCGGCUGCCUGCCGUUCAGACCUCUAAGACAUCGUCUUUUUGAAGUCUUCUACCAACAGAUCUCGCUGAGAAACAAUAUGAAAUAAAAAAUACUUUUUCCUCUAGGAUUUUUUUAGUAACCCAAGGGUGCUGUGUUUUCUUCUUGGUCUGCGUGAUAAGAAGAGUAACAGCUAAGGACAGUAGCACACAUGUGUAAUUCCAGAGGCUAAAGCAGGAGGAUUGCAAACUUGAGUAGAGCCUGGGCAAUUUAGAAGCUUAGCAAGACCCUGUCUCAAAACAGAAAACAGAAGAAGGAAGAGAUACCACACAGCAAUUACCUCUUAUGAAACUACUUUUUGGUAUAGAUGCUAAAGAAAACUAUUCACAAUUCUCUGGAAAUACUGAAAUGUUCUUCUUUUUGCCAAAAGCAUAUCCUUAGGAGGUCAAAUCUUCUUUAUAUUUCAACCAAAAAUAGCAGAUUGGAAGCAAAACCAGGGCCUGGUACAUGCUAGGAAAGCACUAUACCAUAGAGCUGUGCCCCCAGCCCUCAUGCUUUAAUACAAUCACCUGUGCCAUUGUCUCGAGAGGUGCCUGGAGGAGGUGAGAGAUUUGUUAGAAAGACUGUGUUGAUAGAUGAUGGUGGAUUUAAGCAGGCUGGAGCAAUGGAAGAGGAGUUAACAAUAUAACCACAAGCCUGGAAGUCACUUCAAGGAGUCCUAGUCCACCUUCCCACCCAGCCUUCCACCAACUCUGAGCAACCGGAAAAGGAAGUGUUAUUGCUCAGGAACAAGCCUGGUGCUGAGUACAGUGGCAAAUCUGAUCUGAAGUUACCUUAGAAGACCAAUCAUUGCAGGGCUCUCAAUCCUGAUCCACUGCGUCGGUGACAGUUGAGUGCCCCUGCUCGAGCUUGAAUGAACGACCCUCGUGUGUUUACAUCGGGAUCAGCUCCUUGAUGGUCUUUGGGGACUUCGCGAUCUGGGCACAACAUUUGGGGGCUCGUCUGGGAUCCCCAAGACCCUCAGGAUUCCUGUACCGGAGGGUGGAUGCUGGCUGAAGCAGCCGCCUGCGGCAGUCCUAGCAGUGUGCAAAAAAACCACCAGAGGAGACUGCCGGAGAGGAGAAACCAAAACAAAACCCACGGCGCCGCUUUACCCAGUUCUCCAAGGAGGAACUGAAGAAGAUCUCCUUUUCCCCCCCCUCCCCACCACCCGCACCCCGCUCCUCCACUCCCUCUGACCCCAACGGGGGUGGAGGGAAGAGCGUGGGCAGGGUUGGAGGGAGGAGCCCCGGCGGAGGCCGGGGAGAAAAUACAUGGCCGGGCGGACAUUGCUAGAGGAGAUGGCCCCGCCCAAAACACCCGCAACCACACGCAGCCUCGCCGGUGGCGGGGCCAGCAGAUUCCACUGUCUUCCCGUUGAGGGCGACUCGACCCCCUGAUGAACAUGGCAAUCAGCCUCUCCAGUAUUGGCCCUUUGCCACUAGUGACCUUUAUAAUUGGCGCACACAACACGCCAAGUUUUCUGACAAUCCCAGGGAUCUAAUUCAACUGUUAGAGACUGUUUUGUUCACCCACCAUCCCACCUGAAAUGACUGUCA